rnacentral:rRNA from 1 species
CAGCCGUAAACUAUGCGCGUUAGGUGUACUGGUGACCACGAGUCACCGGGGUGCCGAAGGGAAACCGUGAAACGUGCCGCCUGGGAAGUACGGUCGCAAGGCUGAAACUUAAAGGAAUUGGCGGGGGAGCACCACAACAGGUGGAGCCUGCGGUUUAAUUGGACUCAACGCCGGAAAUCUCACCGGAUAGGACAGACAUAUGAUAGUCGGGCUGAAGACUCUACUUGAUGAUCUGAGAGGAGGUGCAUGGCGUCAGUGACU